rnacentral:piRNA from 1 species
UGUGGAGAUAAUUAGCAUCAUGAUAGAGGC